rnacentral:rRNA from 1 species
AGUACGGAAUAAUUGUUGGAAACGGCAACUAAUACCGUAUACGCCCUACGGGGGAAAAAUUUAUUGCUAUUAGAUGAGCCUAUAUUAGAUUAGCUAGUUGGUGGGGUAAUAGCCUACCAAGGCAAUGAUCUAUAGCUGAUCUGAGAGGAUGAUCAGCCACACUGGAACUGAGAUACGGUCCAGACUYCUACGGGAGGCAGCAGUGGGGAAUAUUGGACAAUGGGCGAAAGCCUGAUCCAGCCAUGKCGCAUGAGUGAAGAAGGCCUUUGGGUUGUAAAGCUCUUUUAGUGAGGAAGAUAAUGACGGUACUCACAGAAGAAGUCCUGGCUAACUCCGUGCCAGCAGCCGCGGUAAUACGGAGAGGGCUAGCGUUAUUCGGAAUUAUUGGGCGUAAAGGGCGCGUAGGCUGYUUAAUAAGUUAAAAGUGAAAUCCCGAGGCUUAACCUUGGAAUUGCUUUUAAAACUAUUAAUCUAGAGAUUGAAAGAGGAUAGAGGAAUUCCUGAUGUAGAGGUAAAAUUCGUAAAUAUUAGGAGGAACACCAGUGGCGAAGGCGUCUAUCUGGUUCAAAUCUGACGCUGAAGCGCGAAGGCGUGGGGAGCAAACAGGAUUAGAUACCCUGGUAGUCCACGCUGUAAACGAUGAAUGUUAAAUAUGGGAAGUUUACUUUCUGUAUUACAGCUAACGCGUUAAAGAUUCCGCCUGGGGACUACGGUCGCAAGAUUAAAACUCAAAGGAAUUGACGGGGACCCGCACAAGCGGUGGAGC